rnacentral:lncRNA from 1 species
UAAAGUGUCCGGCAGACAUUCUCGAAAGUUGGACACGAAACGUGUCAAAGUGAUAGAAGUUGAAGGCCCGAGGGGAAAAUUCUCCCGAAAUUUCAAGCAUUUGAAUCUCGAUUUUCAGCUGACCGCCGACGAAGAAAAUGGUAAGAAGAAGCUCAAGGUAGACGCCUGGUUCGGCAGCCGGAAAACAACCGCCUCCAUUCACACCGCCCUCAGCCACGUGUCGAAUCUGAUUAACGGCGUUACUAAGGGUCACCGUUAUAAGUUGCGUUUUGUGUACGUCCAUUUUCCUAUCAACGCUUCCAUCACCAACAGCGGCACCGCAAUUGGGAUCCGCAAUUUCUUGGGCGAGAAGAAGGUUUGGAAUUUGAAAAAAAAAAACUAAUACAACUUUUUAUUUGUUUAUUUUGGCAAAAUCGAAAUAGGAUUGAUCCAUUUUAAGAUUGAACGAUUGACAAGACACCGGAUACUUAUCGAACACUUGUUGGGCUAUUUUUGUAUUUACCGAAAAAAGAAGAAGCAACAAAUACUUAUCGAGCCAAGGGAUGGGGUCCCUAGGGGCGAGGGAUUUCACCUUUUGGUACAAGAAUGAAAAAAGAAAGAUAAACAGAUAUUUUGUAAAAAAAAAUUAAAAAAUGUUAAAUGCAUAUAUGAAAUAUUAUAUGCAUAUAAAUAAAAUGAUAAUUGCAGUUUGAAAUUUACUUAAUGCAUAUUUUGAAUUUGUGAGUGGAGGGGCAUUUUUUGAAUGAAUUUUAUAAAGGGUCCAUUUGAUAUACACCCUUAAUAUGGAAAAUAUAUAGGGAUAGGUCCACCCCUAAAAUUCUUCCUUUGAGAUAACCCCUGGAGAGGCAAAAGUACUAUUGUGCCCUUAUAUCUAAUUUUGCCCAACUGCAUUCAGUAUUUUUACUAACUGCAUUCAGCAUUAUGAUCAACUGCAACUAACAUUUAGACCUGCAUUUAUCAUAUUAUCAGAUUUUUUUAAUAAAAAAUUAUAAAUGUUUAUUUUAUUAUUAUUUUUUAUAUAUACCUCUGUUGUAUUUUUAAUUUUUUAAUUUUUUUAAUUUUUUUAAUUUUUUAAAAUUGUUUAAUUUUUGAUUUUUUUGAAUUUUGAAUUUUUUUAAUUUUUUAAAAUUUUUAUUUUCUUUUAAUUUUUUAAUUUUUUUAAUUUUUUAAUUUUUUUAAUUUUUUUAAUUUUUUUAAUUUUUAAUUUUUAAUUUUGUUUCAAUAUUUUGAUAAAUUUACUGUAUUGAAAUUGACUACACAUGACUAUUGUAUAUAUAUAUUGGUGCAAUAUAUAUUACAUAUGAUUAUAUAAAAAAAACUUCAUCUACACUAAAUACAAAAAUUCACAAUAUAAUCUUGAUAUUAUAAAUCAAUUAAUACCCAACAAAAAAUUGGAAAAACACAAUCAUCAACAUCACUAUACAUCAGAAAAAACACAUAACUUAUAUAGCUUAUAUAUAACAAUAUAUUACUACGAGUUACUACACGUGACCAUAUAUGACUACACGUAUAUGACUACAUAUGACUAUAUAUGACUACAUGUAUAUGACUACACGUGACUAUAUAUGACUACAUGUAUAUGACUACACGUGACUAUAUAUGACUACAUUUAUAUGACUACACGUGACUAAAUAUGACUAUAUGUAUAUGACCACGUGUGACUAUAUAUGACUUGAUAACGCAAAUCUCUCCUACACUGAAACAAGUACAACCAAGUUUCGAAUAAGACGUAAUUGUCGAGAAACUGCCGGUCCUCCCACUGUAUCAUCAUCGACUCGCCUGACAGACUCCUCAUCCAACACGAGAGUAGCUUCUAGAGUUGGUACAAAUCUGCUUGUUGAAGCAAAUGUCUCAAAGAACAAUUGCCAUGAUACUGAACAUAAAAAUAAUUCAGACCCUCAAUCAUAUUGGAAAUAUGAAAUCAUUAGCACAUUAACUAACAGAAUAAAUGAAAACGGGAGCACCCCUUUAGAUUGACUUUUUGAGAAAGAGAAACUUACACCAUGUACUAGAGUAAAUGAACCACUGUCAUCAUUUGUGGAUGAACAUAUAUAGCCAUGAACUUGAACCGAGUAAGAAUGGUACAUUACUCUACGGUGAGCCAGUCUUUUCAAUACCUGAAUGUAAUUUCACCAAGAAGACAUCAAAGUCGGACAAUAUAUCACCAUUUUCAAAAUGUAGCUUACUAAUGUGUCAACUUAGCAUACCUCUAUUGCCCUUCUUCCCCUACGUUGCGCCUGAUUGCUAACCAGUCGCCGAAGCACGACUUUCUUAUUGAACAGUGGACUGCAUUACUAGAAAGAGAGCAUUAUUAGAAUUUCUAUUUCUCUUCAUGAUACUUCGGUUGAUAAAAUCCUGAAACGAAUGCCGUAAAUCAAAACAUACCUACUAGCUUCAUUCACUGUAGCUUCAUAUACAAUUUCAUCACCCUGCAUUACAACUCAACAAAAGCACAAUGAACACAGUCAGAUCAUAGCAACAUGAAACUUUAUGAACUCAAUCUUACAACAUAAAUAGCAAGAGAAGCCAAUAAACUGCUACUUACCCUAAUAAUUACAUGUAGUCAUGUACCUUUUUUUGCCCCAAUAUCCAUUUUCCAAACAAUUCACCAAGAAAUUGAUUACAGGAAAAGAAAAUAAUCAAACACAAUACAAUUGAAAUUAUUAAUAAAAUUAAAAUCAUCUUUCUCAAAAUCAUCUUUCUCUCUCCAUUUUUCCUUUAUUGCAUUCAUUUUAUUAAUAUACACAUUGAACAGACAGGGUGAGUUUAUGAGCAUACCCUCUCAAAAUCAUCUUUCUCUCUCCAGUUUUCCUCUGCAUUCAUUUUAUUAAUAUAUAUAUUGAACAAUUGGAACAGGAAAAUUCAGAGAAAAUAAUAAAUUAAUAAAAUAUGAAGAAAAAAGACUUACGGCUAGAUUAUCACCAGAGGUAGUUGUCUACCUGGAACGGGAUCCCGUGCGGCGGAAUAUGGAUCCCGUUCUCCUCGUAAUCGUCGUCGAUCUCCGUUCGACGAUUCUCUUUGCAGGCGUUAUCUUCUUGCCGACCUUCGGCUUCUUCUGUGCUUCCGCCGCCGCCGCUUCACGUCUUCCGCCAACGCAGGAAGAAAUUUUCGAUCGGGUGGCGGAGAAGAACGGGUGGUGCUCCGACGAUGUGAAGCUACGCAGACCGCCGUUCUCCACCAUGAUUCCCGCAACCUUCGCCGCUGCUCUCAUCGCGCCGCCUCCCAUGUUAUUUUCAGAUUUGGUGGAGAAUAAUUUCGAAGAAAGAAAAGAGUGAACGAGAGAGAUAGAGAAGGAGAGAUGAAGAGAGUGAUGUAACGGCGAUUGUGGGUUUGAUGAGAGAGAGAAUGUUAGGGUUAGGGUAUAUAUUGAAUUUAAAUUAAAAGGGCAAAAUAGGUAUUUUAAAUUGUCUAGGGGGGUCUCACUAAUUAAGAUCAGGAUUUGGGUUUUUGACUAGGAGAAAAAAAUUUAUUGGGCCUCCUCAUAUAUAUUUUCAAAACAAGGGGGGUAUCACUCAUUUCCCCUUUUAUAAAUGAUGUGAAGCAAAUGUUUAGUUGAGCUUGUCAUUUAGUUCUAAUAUAUUUUAUCACUAGAGACCUAUAUUCUAAGACCCCUAAGAAAUAGGAAAUGGUGUAGGAUAGAAGAUGCCCUUAGUCCAAAUAAAGUUAUGCCUGUAAAUAUGCCUAAUAGAGAUUUUUAAAAAAUUGUAGAAGACUUUCUAGAAUUCUUUAUUAGUAGAUAUUUGGUAGGAAUUCUUUAGAGUAUAAGUGGACAAAUCCUAGCUUUUAUAUCAAAUAAAUCUCUAUCGUCUUUUAAGAAGAUAACCUAAUAUAAAUAGAAGUAGAAAUUUCAUUUGUAAGCAUGCAAAAAAAUCAUAUUAUGACUUUGUAUUCUAAAAAACCGUAUUAUUCUCCCUUUUAUAUAAACAACUUUUUUAUUUAUAUUGCAAAGGUAAAAAAGAGAGUCCUAAUUUAUAUUUGAUGGCAACGUAUCUGUCUGAUGAAAAGUGAUAUCGUAUAAUCAUAUAUAUUCAGCAACCGCCGCUGCCGCCAUGGUUUCAAAGAAAAAUAUAUAUUCAGCAACCGCCGCCACCGCCAUGGAUUCAAAGAAAAACGUAAAAAUCAACGACAACCAGUUGAGGGAGAUACUCGUCCACCUGCCUCCAAAAACCCUUUUCAAGUUCAUGACCGUCUCCAAGAGGUGGAAAUAUCUCAUCAACGAUCCUACCUUUCUUAAGUUCCAUAACAACAAACAACGGCGCCGCUCCUCCAUCGUCGCCGGAGAGGACAACGGUCAUCUGCUGGCACUGUUCCAAUUAACAACCAAACACUUGUCUAGCAGAUACCGCCGCCAUCCUUCGGAACCCCUAAUGAACAUCCUCGUCGUUAUUCCCGCCGGAAAUCCCGAAAUAAUGUGCGUCGAAAAGGAACUAGGAUACUUCAUCCACUCCUCUGAGGGUUUAGUCCUCUGCGGCCGCCACCCGUCCACCUACCACAUCAUGAACCCGGUGACCAAAAAGUGGGUCCCACCGCCACCGCCGUCACGUCGUCGUUUCAACCAACAAUACUCUCGUGAUUGGACGAUCGGAUUGAUGGCCACCGCGUGGGAGGGGACAACAGCUACAUAGUCGUUCGAGCUGCCGUGACGGAUGAUCCCGACCAUCCAUUGCCCAUCGAGACCUACUCAUCGACGACCGGCGAGUGGGUCCCAUCGACGCUCGUUGGCACGGGGAUUCGUCCAAUAUGAAUUUAAUAGGGGAAACAAAGAUGAAGGGAAAUAACUUUUACUUUUGCAAUUUUGUAUUCCUGUGUUUAACUAAAUAAUUUUACUUUUGUUUGGUUAAAUCGGUUAUGAUUAACUAAAUAAUUUUAGUGCAGAUAACAGUUUAUCCCUUGAAAAUUUGAUUUUGGCACUAAAGCCCUUAUAAAUAUAAAAAACAGAAUUUCCCGCUUGAAAAUAUAUAAUUAAUUGCAUAUUGCCCCAUAGUUUAGAUUUGUCCCGGAGAAAUAUAUUUUUAAAUAGAUAUUAUUUUUUAAUUUGGUUUAAUUUAAUUCAAUUUUUAUUUCGUAUAAAUAUUAAAAGUAGUGGUAUAUUUAUAAGUAUGCUAUAUAAACAUAUAUAAAUUUUUAUUUAUAUAUAAUCUUUUUUCUCAUACACACACAUUCAAAUUAUCUUUUAAUCUUAACUAUCAAUUUUUCAUUGAUCGUUGAUUAUGUAAAUAAUUAUGUAAAAAACAAAAAUAUUGUAAAAAUUGCUAUUCAAACAUGUCUUUAACUUUUUAAAAAUUGCAAAAUAUCCCAUAAAGUGUACGACAGACAUUCUCGAAAGUCGGACACGCAAGGUGUCAAAGUGAUAGAAGUCGAAGACCCGAGAGGAAAACUCUCCCGAAAUUUCAAGCAUUUGAAUCUCGAUUUUCAGCUGACCGCCGAAGAAGAAACCGGUAAGAAGAAGCUCAAGAUAAACACCUGGUUCGGCAGCCGGAAAACAACCGCCUCCAUUCGUACCGC